rnacentral:rRNA from 1 species
AUGGGUGUACGUCGCGAGGUGGAGGCGGUGGAUUCGUGCAUGGUGACGCCCAUGGAGCAGACGCCAAGCCAUGGCCUCUGGCUCUCCCCGCUCGACCUCGCAACUGUCAGUAUAGGCCUCAUCCCCACCGUCUACUUCUACAGCUCCAGCUCCGGCGUCGUCGACGACUUCUUCGACGUGGCCAGGCUCAAGGUGGCGCUGGCCAAGGCUCUCGUGCCCUUCUACCCACUCGCCGGCCGUAUCGGCGUGGACGGCGGCGGUCGAGCGGAGGUGCACUACGCCGGCCAGGGCGCGCUCUUCGUCGUCGCUCGCUCGGACCUCACCGUGGAUGGCCUCGUCGAUUGCCAGCCGUCGCCGGAACUAAGGAGGCUCUUUGUUCCCCGCUUCGAGGACUCGCCGUCCAUCAUGUGCGCCAUUCAGGUGACUUUCAUGGGAUGCGGUGGGGUCAUCCUGGGGACGGCGCUGCACCACGCCGCCGUCGACGCCGCAAGCGUGUUCCACUUCUUCAAGACGUGGUCCGCCUUCUCCAGAGACCUCCCGGGAGUGCGGCGCUCGACCUCCCGUGCCACGACCGUACCCUCCUCCGCGCGCGCACACCGCCCAUGGUCCACCCCGACGCUUUCACCGUGUUCUGCCCGAAGCUAA